AUGCCGCGUUUGUGGAACACACUGAUUAGCACCGCUGAGGGAGGCGGGCUGCUCCCUGCAGGAGAACGUGAUGGUGUCUCUGGCCAACGCGCGCCUUCUGCUUCCUGUGUUCCAGCUGGAGAGGAGGAAGUGGCAGCUGGAGAGGAGGAAGUGGCAGCUGAGGAGGCCGGCGAAGAGGAGGCUGCCGCUGAUGGCGAAGGAGAGACCGUAGCCGAGGUCGUGGCCGAGGUUGCAGAGGUCGUCGCUGAGGCGGCGGAGGAGGUCGCCGAGGCGGCAGAGGAAGUUACAGAGGUCGCUCGUGAAGUGGAGGCGGUCGCGGGAGAGGUGGCUAAGGCGGCCGAAGCCGCCCCCCAAGCCGCCGCAGAACCAGCCGCCGAGGAGCCCGACAGCAACGUGCCGCUGGCUGCUGCUUCUGCUCUAGAAGUACCAAAGAUCAUUGAAGUGACGGAAGAGUUAGCCGCAGCCAUUCAGGACAUCGAUGAGUCCCUUGCACAAGUUGAGGAGGCUACCAAGCCAGCAGAAGAGUCCCCAGCACCAGUAGAGCCUGCACCAGUUGAAGACACCACAGCACCAGUAGAGGUUGCACCAGUUGAAGAGGCCCCAGCACCAGUAGAGGUUGUUGAAGAGUCCCCAGUAGAGGCUGCACCAGUUGAAGAGGCCCCAGCACCAGUAGAGGUUGUUGAAGAGUCCCCAGUAGAGGCUGCACCAGUUGAAGAGGCCCCAGCACCAGUAGAGGCUGCACCAGUUGAAGAGGCCCCGGCACCAGUAGAGGCUGCACCAGUUGUUGAGGAAGUCUUGGUACCAUCUGAACCUGAAGUUACCACAGCACUUGCUGAGGAACCAGUCACCACCGCAGUUGAUGAAGAGGCUCUGGCAACCAUCGCUGCAGAAGUAGCGACCCCUAUGGUGGUUGAAGAAGCGGCUACUGAGACCCUUGCAGAAGCUCCGAAGAGAGAGUACAUUGUUGUGGUCCUGGAAGGAACACCUAAAGCUGAUAAGUCACCCAAGGUGCUUGGAGUGGAGUCCAUGACUGGUAGAAUCAUCCCAACUCCAGACGACGACGUCUCUGCUUCUGAGGGUAGGCGACGCCUUCUUAGGAUGCAAAUGCAGUAG
ensembl:lncRNA